ensembl:lncRNA
CUGACGGAGGUCACCACGUGUCUGUGGGACGGCCUGUCAUCCCCAUGGAUCCUGCGGCGCCCUCCGUCCUCUCAGCCACCCCCCCUGACUGGAGACACAGCUGGGUCGAAUGACCAACACGUCCCGCCCAGGCGUCGGCCCGAGGAUAACGUUUUUGCUGAGACCAGAGUUUGGACCGAAACCGAAGCGGCGGUUCACGCGGGGGUAGAUGGCACAGUCUUUGUGGAGACCUUGGCCAAAGUUGGGGCUGAAUGGAGUCCCGUGGAUGAGGGGGGGGGAGGCCUGCCAGGGUUUCCCAGGGACCCGGCCGCCGGGCCGCAGCAGCAGAGAGAGCGGGCAGCCCUCUCAUCGGCCCCCAACGGCGGUAUAGCACAGCGAAAACCUUUGGGGCUUCUGUCUAAAGCUGCUUGGACCAAAGGCACCUCUUCAUCCUCAUCCAAGUCCUCCUCUUUCUCUUCCUCCUCCUCUUCCUCAACCACAACAAAGGCAUCCUCUUUGCCCUCGUCCUCCUCUUCCUCUGCAACCAGCAAAAGAGACAGUCAGACGACAAGACCAGACAACGGGUCCAUGGCCACUGCCAACAGCAAGUCCUCCACCAGCAAUAGCAGCUCCAGUUUGGAGGAGUCAGUGGGCAGCCUGCCAGCCUGGGAUCUGCCGACAGUCCCUGGGUCGCUACUGUCCACAAUGGACGACCACGACGUCCCACUCCCUGCUAACGUCACCAGCCCUUUCUACACCCACCAGUGGAACACCACCAUGCCUGUGCGCACCAAAAACACCUCAACAUCAACCACCACUGUAAACACAUCUCCAUCACCCACCACCACCACCUCAGCUUUACCGUUAUCGACCACAGCGACUGCACAAACACCAUCUGGAUCAAGCACAGCUUCUCAAACCACAAGCCUGGACACUGUGACCAAUGAGGGCCUUCAGCUGACGACAGUAACCACGACGACACCCUCAACGACCACCGUUACUGUGACUGCCGCUGGGAUGACGACCCAAACGACGAACAUUGGGCUCGCUGCAACAGUCUCACCAAAUACAACCACUGCUGCUGCAUCCGCCCGGCUAACGACAAGCCUCAAACUGACUACAGCGGCUCAGCCCACAACCACCAGUACGACCACACCUGCCACUACCAUCAGAACCACUGCUACGGUGCCCCCCGACCACAACGCCUCCCACCACUACAACAACCACCGCGCUUCCCACCACUACUACAACAACCACCACACUUCCCACCACUACUACAACCACUACACCUGCACCUACUACUACUACUACUGCCGCCACUACAACCACAACAACAGAGGCACCUACCACUACUCUCUUCAUCCCAAUCGUAACCACGCCGCCUCCCACCACGACCACUGA